UACCCCCGGCACGAUACAGUCACCCUUUUUCAUCCUCUCUAGAAGUCAUAUCACACCCUCUCCAGAGGAAAACGCGGAGUACCAGCCCCACACGUACGCACAAAAGCCAGGGGGCUCGGCGGAGCGGCCGCUGUUCCGUGUUUGGCAACACCUUGGUGUGAAGUCCCAUUAACGCAAGGCAACAAAAGCCAUUUGCGAUGAAAUCCACACGCUCACACGUGUGCACACUGGAACACCGAUCCUGAGGGAAGGGAGGGGGAAGAGACACGCUUUCCAUCCGAAAUGUAACUGAGGAACAUAUGUGUUUGUUUUCCGGGUAAAAAGAAAAACCCCCAACGAACAAACAAAAAACCACAAACCCCAAUACCCCUGACAUCUCAUUCCUAGAAAUCAAGCACCCGCCAGCGAGUGGAUCUAAAAGCUCAGCUCCCGCAUCGGGAGACAGCUUCAUCCCAAAGUCCUCGAUCCGAGACUUGAUCACCAAAACACUUAGUCGGCGCUGAGCCUGGCGAAUCCUCAGUUUCUUUCCCAAGCUACAGCAUCGCCCAAAACAGCAGCAGGGUCGGACGGGAGAGUGCCCCCUUCGACCCAGAGCCAGCCACCUAUCCAUCCAUCUAUCCAUCCAUCCAUAUGGAUGAGUGUAGCAUCCUACAAGAGCCUUAUCUACCUAUAGACCAGGCUGCUGCUUGGAUCCUGUUUGCCCUUCCUCAUACACUUCCGACAAAGCCGGGUUUCCACAAGCCCCGAAGUUCCUGGGGAAGGACCCCAGCCCCUCUCCGGCUGCAGGACCGCAAGGAAGCCUGACGACGGAGCAGAAGUUUUCCUAAACGAAAUUGAGAGACGGAGGGAUGCUGAAGGCUCCCGCUCGCAGCUGCGGGGCCUGGGCUCUGCCCGGGCCCGGGGGAAGAGCUUACCUCGCAUUCCUCAUACUUGAUAUUAUCCGUCAGUUUCCAAAGCAUUUUCAUGGAUUGGCGUGAGAGAGAGGAUUUGGUUCUCCCUGCCUUGCCUCUCCCUACGGUGGCGGUGCCGGGCGGCGUGGGGAGCGCGGCUGGCGGAGGCUGGCUCCCGUCCGCGCUCGGAGAUCUCCCUCUAAUGGUGGAAAGUUUUUCCUUUUCCAGCUCUUUACCCACAGUCUAAUCGCCUCAUUAGCAUAUCAACAACAGCCCAAUUGCUCGCCAGCACAACAACCUGCAGCGAUGGACACAGGUAGAAAGGACCCACGAGCAAGAAAAAAAAUAAUAAAUUAACAGUGAAAAAAAAAAAGCUUUCUCCGACCUGCCGAGCCCUGGUGCGGGGGCCAGAGGGCCCUGCCUGCCUGCCUGCGGGCCGCCGCUCCCCUCGUGCCUCUACCUGCCAGCAGGGAAGUGGUCAGUGAAAUCAAAGAGGCGACCGUCCCUUCAUCUGCAGAGAGUUUGGAACUAGCCAUGAAGCCACCCCAUGGGAUUUACCUCUCCUUCCUCCCCCCCUUUCUUUUUUUUUCAUGGAGGUUAAAGAAACCAAAGCAAGCAGAAACGAGACUCGAGUCUUGCUCGAACGAAGUUAUUGUCUGCGGAGGCUUUUGUUGCCCUCUGGAUUUGAUUUGAUCUUUUUUGGUGGACAUUUGAAAAGCUUCUUUCCUUCGCAAACUAUUUUUUUUUCUUCUCGGCUCUGUUGUCUAUAUGUCUUCAAAAAAAUACCACCCCAAACAAAUCCAGCAUAACCUCCCAGAUAAAAGUGGGUGAACGGUAAAGUGAAUGAAGCAGGAGCAAAAAAAUCUUUUGCGAGCACUUGAGCAAAGGGAUGAAACAAUGACCACAAUAAAACUUUGGCACUUUCUUA